UACGGGGGGGGCAAGCGUUGUUCGGAAUUACUGGGCGUAAAGGGCUCGUAGGCGGCCAACUAAGUCAGACGUGAAAUCCCUCGGCUUAACCGGGGAACUGCGUCUGAUACUGGAUGGCUUGAGAUUGGGAGAGGGAUGCGGAAUUCCAGGUGUAGCGGUGAAAUGCGUAGAUAUCGGAAGGAACAUCAGUGGCGAAAGCGACUUCCUGGACCAAUACUGACGCUCAUGUGCGAAAGCGUGGGGAGCAAACAGG
rnacentral:rRNA from 1 species